AGUGAACGCUGGCGGCAGGCCUAACACAUGCAAGUCGAGCGGCAGCGCGGGGGCAACCCUGGCGGCGAGCGGCGGACGGGUGAGGAAUUCGUCGGAAUCUGCCUUUUUGUGGGGGAUAACGUAGGGAAACUUACGCUAAUACCGCAUACGUCCUACGGGAGAAAGUGGGGGACCGCAAGGCCUCACGCAGAAAGAUGAGCCGACGACCGAUUAGCUAGUUGGUGGGGUAAAGGCCCACCAAGGCGACGAUCGGUAGCUGGUCUGAGAGGAUGAUCAGCCACACUGGGACUGAGACACGGCCCAGACUCCUACGGGAGGCAGCAGUGGGGAAUAUUGGACAAUGGGCGCAAGCCUGAUCCAGCCAUGCCGCGUGUGGGAAGAAGGCCUUCGGGUUGUAAAGCACUUUUGUCCGGAAAGAAAUCCCUGGAGCUAAUACCUUCGGGGGAUGACGGUACCGGAAGAAUAAGCACCGGCUAACUUCG
rnacentral:rRNA from 1 species